rnacentral:rRNA from 1 species
UACAGAGGUCCCGAGCGUUGUUCGGAUUCACUGGGCGUAAAGGGUGCGUAGGUGGCUGGAAAAGUUUGAUGUGAAAGCUCAGGGCUUAACCCUGAAAUGGCAUUGAAUACUGUCGAGCUGGAGGUUUGGAGGGGGGACUGGAAUACUUGGUGUAGCAGUGAAAUGCGUAGAUAUCAAGUGGAACACCAGUGGCGAAGGCGAGUCCCUGGACAACUCCUGACACUGAGGCACGAAAGCUAGGGGAGCAAACAGG